GACGAACGCUGGCGGCGCGCUUAACACAUGCAAGUCGAGCGAUGAAAUUUCGACAGAUCCCUUCGGGGUGAAGAUGAAAUGGAUUAGCGGCGGACGGGUGAGUAACACGUGAGUAAUCUGCCUUUGACAUUGGGAUAGCCUCGGGAAACUGGGAUUAAUACCAAAUGACACUAACUGAUCACAUGAUCAAUUAGUCAAAGAAAUUCGGUCAAAGAUGGACUCGCGGUUGAUUAGCUAGUUGGUGAGGUAACGGCCCACCAAGGCGACGAUCAGUAGCCGGCCUGAGAGGGUGAUCGGCCACAUUGGAACUGAGACACGGUCCAAACUCCUACGGGAGGCAGCAGUGGGGAAUAUUGCACAAUGGGGGAAACCCUGAUGCAGCGACGCCGCGUGAGCGAAGAAGGCCUUCGGGUCGUAAAGCUCUUUUAUGAGGGAAGAUAAUGACGGUACCUCAAGAAAAAGCCCCGGCUAACUACGUG
rnacentral:rRNA from 1 species